ACACGCUGGCGGCGUGCCUAACACAUGCAAGUUGAGCGGGAAUGUACUUCAGAGAUUUCGAUUGACGAAGAUGCAGGAGAGCAGCGGACGGGUGAGUAACGCGUGAGCAAUCUGCCCUGUGGAGGGGGAUAGCCUCCGGAAACGGAGAUUAAUACCGCAUAACACUGCACUGUCGCAUGAUAGAGCAGUCAAAACUCAGGUGCCACAGGAUGAGCUCGCGUCUCAUUAGCUAGUUGGUAGGGUAAAAGCCUACCAAGGCGACGAUGAGUAGCCGACCUGAGAGGGUGAUCGGCCACACUGGGACUGAGACACGGCCCAGACUCCUACGGGAGGCAGCAGUGGGGAAUAUUGCGCAAUGGGGGGAACCCUGACGCAGCAACGCCGCGUGAAUGAAGAAGGCUUUCGAGUCGUAAAAUUCUGUCCUCAGGGAAGAAGAAGUGACGGUACCUGAGGAGGAAGCCCCGGCUAACUACGUG
rnacentral:rRNA from 1 species